rnacentral:lncRNA from 13 species
GCAAAAAACAAAAUGGCGGAUUUAAUAUAGCGGAUACAUGUAUUUUAAAUAUAUUUAAUGUAGUCAAAAUUUGAUAUCCUGGGAUUUUUGAGUACUGUACAAUCGUAUAAUAACAAAAGAUCCACAAACAGAACGACUAUCUGAAUGCCGCGGCAUGAUCUGUUUAUUCCAUGGACUUAGAAAUAGAGGGACGAUGCAUAACUUACAAGGAUGAGCCACGUUCGCGGCCGGGGGGACCGCCAUGUUGGUUUCAAAGAUUGCACACAUUAAAACAUGUACAGUGCAUGUGUGAAAUAAACAGUACAGAAUAAUAAAGUUUAAAAUUUUGUUAAUCUUUUACAUUAAA